rnacentral:rRNA from 1 species
GACGAACGCUGGCGGCGUGCCUAAUACAUGCAAGUAGAACGCUGAAGGAGGAGCUUGCUUCUCCGGAUGAGUUGCGAACGGGUGAGUAACGCGUAGGUAACCUGCCUGGUAGCGGGGGAUAACUAUUGGAAACGAUAGCUAAUACCGCAUAACAGUAGAUGUUGCAUGACAUUUGCUUAAAAGGUGCAAUUGCAUCACUACCAGAUGGACCUGCGUUGUAUUAGCUAGUUGGUGAGGUAACGGCUCACCAAGGCGACGAUACAUAGCCGACCUGAGAGGGUGAGUGGCCACACUGGGACUGAGACACGGCCCAGACUGCUACGGGAGGGAGCAGGAGGGAAACGUCGGCAAGGGACGGAAGACAGACCGAGAAACGCCGCGGGAGGGAAGAAGGUUGUCGGAUCGUAAAGCUCUGUUGUAAGAGAAGAAAGAGUGUGAGAGUGGAAAGUUCACACUGUGACGGUAACUGACCAGAAAGGGACGGCUAACUACGUG